UACUUGCAAGGCUUUGUUUACUUUAAUUGCUGCAGAACAUCUGUACAUUGUAACCUUUUAGUUGUUCCCUAUUUGUAAUAUUCUGAAAUGUCCUUGUUUCAGUUUUCACUAACCUAAAACUUUAAAUUUAAACCUCUGACAAUUUACUGCUUACCUUUUCAUCAUUUUAGGUCAUUCAUUGCAUUUCAACUGAUUAAAUGUGGAGACAAACUGGAAAAACUGAUGUCUUCUAAAAAACUUUUGACGUGUAAUGUAUAGGAUGGAGAACAGUCCCUGACGGUGAUUGGCAGUAUUUAGGUAGAACAGAGGAAAAACAGAAGGACCUCUGAUGUCACUUCCAGUAGCAGCUCGAAAUAUCACCUCUUACACCCCAGCAGGUAUUUAAGAGAUCAUUGAUUCAGAAAUCGUCAGUCAGUUCUGAACCUGAGACUGAAGAAGAUGACACUGUCUACGCAAUCUAACUCUUUUCCUAAAACUAAACUUAAAGAGGACGCCUACCCCACCUACGACACCCUGAGAAGACGCCAUAAGAAGCGGGCAGUCCCAUUAAAGUAGCUUCUCAUUUUGGACCCUUUGCUUCAAUGAAGACAGAACUCCCACUGAUGGAACCAUUCAGAGAAAGAUUUAACUGGCUGAUUAGAACUGACUUUAUUUUGUGCAUUGGGCACUUUUGGUUGUGACAAUUAAAUGGGAUAACCCAGC